GCGUAGCUCAGUGGUCAGAACACCUGCUUGGCAUGUAGAAGGUCCCAGGUUCCAUCCCCGCUGGCAGAGGCU